rnacentral:misc_RNA from 1 species
GCACAAAGAAAUUCAGAGCACUCCAACAAAAUCCAGACCGACGAAUCUCACGCUCACGCAGGCAGGGUGACUCACUGUCACUGUGCCUUGGACUUUGCUCCAGUCACAUUGGAAACAAUCUCACGGAGGAACCUGGCCGAUUUGGUCACCGGCGAGUUCGCGGCCAUGAUGUUGUACAGCAUAGACUCCACCUCGCCGAUCGUCGGCCGCUUCUUAAGCCGCGACACGACCUUGAACUCCUGCCCGUCCGACGCGCCGCCGUCAUUCUCCACCAUGAGCACCCAGCCCUCGCCACCGAACCGCCCGGCCUCGGCGCACCGCAGCAGCACGCCCCUCUUCUUGCUCAGCAGGCCCCGCACCUCCAGCCCCGUGAAGGAGUAGACCACGUCGAAGGACCCCACGAAGCCCCUCGCGCCGGCGCCGAAUUUCUCCCCGUCUCCCUCCUCGUCGAAGCUCCACGACGGGUUGAACAGCACCACCGGCCUGGGCUCCAGCGCCGCGGCGGCGGCCUUCACCUGCUCCACCUGCGCCGGCCCGGUGGCCAGGAACACCGCGGCAUCGCAGGCGCCCAGCGCGUCCGGCGCCAUCGAGCCCAGUCGGGCGUGCGCCGUCGCCGAGUCCCCCUGGUCCUCGAACUCCCUCAAGGCCACGGACAGCGCCUCGGCCGAGGGCCAGAUGAGCAGCAGCCUCGCCGGCGCGCCCUUCCUCGACGCCCCUGCUCCGCCCGAGAGCACGUCGAACGCGAGGCGCGCGAGGGAGCCCGGCGAUUCGUCGACUACGGGGAUCUCCGCGCGGAACCGCGGCUGCCGCUGCCUCUUGAGCGGGAUCGAGCUGUUGAGCGGCUUCUGCAGCGCCGUGGCGAGGCAGGACCGUGCCUGGGCGACGGCCUCCUGCCUCGAAGACGGCGGCGACGGGGUGUUGGCAGUGUCUAGCUGCGGAGACGUGGAUGAUCGGACGCCUUGCCGCGGCGGUGGCUUGCUGCGGAGUAGAGAGCGGCAGGGUGGGAUCUGACGCGGUGCCAAGAAGACCGAUGGGCGCGUCGGGAGUGGCGGGGGCGGGGGGUUGAGCGCGAUCUUGAAAGGAGGAAGGUUGAGGAGGUUGUUCGAGGCCAUUGGCGCGGGAAGGGUCAGUGCAACUGUGCAAGAGAAGAUAAGGUGUUAUCCACAUGGCGCGGGCAGACGCGGAUAACGAAG